AGCCUCGAUACGUGCAACACAGCAACGGCUACAGAAAGAAAGGUUCCGGCGCUAGUGGGUGGGAACCCGCACAUACGUGCACUCGUUUCCUGCUGCAGGGGGUUUACUCUGAAAUUGGGAAUGAUGAAGUGAUGACCCUUCCACUGUUAAUGUGAAGAGGGUGAAGCUGGACUCCCAGGCUGUGCCUACUGCUGGAGUCCCUGAUGACACAGUUGGCUGAAGGCCUGUCUGCAUUGGAGCAGAAGGAUGGUGAGUCUGUUCUGCAGUGUGCCACCCAAUGGGCUUCUGGGGUGUAAUGUAGGGCUGUCACAAUACCAGUUUCGGCUUUAAUACUGAUACCAAGUGUCGUACCACAGUACUUCAUAAUAUGGCAAAAAAUAAAACAUAAUAAAACCCCGGUGUUUACUGGACUGAUCAUUAUUCAAAUUAUUAUAGUGUAACAGAGGACAGAAUACAACUUCAAACUACUGUUAGCCUAUUUAAAGGGCCUAUAUUCUACAUUUUCAUUUCAUUUUCCCCCCUGAGAUGCAUAUAUAUGACCAUUUUCCACCCUCUCUUUACCCCAUUGAAUUAAACAGGGUGAUAUCAGGUUUAAAGGCAUUUGUUACUAUGCCUUUAAACCUGAUAUUUAAUUAUCCUCUAUUCUGAUUGUGCCUCAUUAAAAAGCAGUCCAGGAUGAAACACUCCUUAUAACCUCAGCAUGAAUGGGCAGGGCUAAACUGCUCUAGGCUGAAUAGGCAGAUGUAUAUAGGCCAGAUUUUUCCAGACUUUGCCAGUGCUGCUUGAGUAUUUGCUGUUAUGUGUAGUAAAAGUAUAAAAAGGAAAUGUAUGCAGAUUUUAUCUGAAUCACAUGUUGCAUUUCUAGACAUUUUCCCUCUGUAGUCUAGGUAUGGCCUUUGAGCCAUAACAUCCCUCUCUCAACUAAAAUAACAUAUCAUGCUCCCUCAACAAGUGAUUAAAAUUGUCACAAAUGAUUGACAGCUGGCUUUAGCCUACCAUUUAAUCUGGAAUUUAAAUCCUAGCCAGUCAGUGAAGAGACAGCCUGCAUUACAUAAUCUGAGAUAAUCUGAGAUUAGAGAUUUCUCCAUGUAAACAAAGCUUGAGCUUUUUAUUUUAGAUUAUGUACUAAGAGGUGAUCCCACCACAUACGUUGUAUCCAUAGUUCUCUCCACUGCCAACAUUGCACUGCACUCUAUUGGUGAAAAACAAGCACUGCACUCUGGUAACAAAAAAGACAUUUGAAUCUGAGCCAGUCCUGAAUCAUCUUCACUGGUUGUUAUUUUCACCUCAUUGAGCCCGUAAGCUUUAACAGCAACAACAUAAAAUGUUAUUGGCUACAUAAAGUUGAUUAGUCUUGGCCACCCGCUGCUUCUCCAAGGCUUUUAUUUUCUUUUACUGGGUGAUAUCUCACUUGACCCUUGGAAUUACUUGCUUUUCAAAGAAAAAAGUUUCUUAUUGAUACUUUAUAAUGAAGCUGUGAUAGGACGAGAAAAGAAGAUUCAGGACAUCAGGGUCGGAUGUGUAUCUGUAAUGUCAACAAAAGCAGGCAAGUAUGCAGUUUUAGGAUAAAUAUUGCAAAUAUUUAGAGAUCACCAGGUUCUUGUAUCUAACAACCUGUAUGUCGAUUUGAUGU